GGCGUCGUCCUGCGCGGAGCGCAACCGCCGCCUCCGUCGACACCCUCGAGAUCCCGUCGUCCCGCGUGGAGACCGCUGCCGCCAUCGACACCCCGUCCUCCUGCAUCUAGGGUGACCGCCGCCAUCGACUCCACGCCAUCCUGCAUCGUGGGCGGCCGCCGCCACCAGCGAAUCGGCCCGAUCCUGCAUCGCCGGCACCAGGUGGUAUGUGAUUUGAAGCAAAAGGUGCUGCUGUGUCGUCUUCCGAAGGUGGUUCUCUUCCCAACUUGUGAUGAUUCUGGUACAUGGAUGUGGCGAUGUUCUGAUAAGGUUUUAGGCUUAGCUCUGAAACACGAAACACAUUUGCUUAUUUGCUUAUUUGGAAUGUCAGUUACAUAUGUGUUCAGUGUCAAUUCUUCUCUGUAAUAUGAAACCUAGAAACAAAAAAGGGUUUUUAUCUGA